UACGGGGGGGGCAAGCGUUGUUCGGAAUUACUGGGCGUAAAGGGUGCGUAGGCGGGUUCUUAAGUCAGAGGUGAAAUCCUGGAGCUCAACUCCAGAACUGCCUUUGAUACUGAGAGUCUUGAGUACGGGAGAGGUGAGUGGAACUGCGAGUGUAGAGGUGAAAUUCGUAGAUAUUCGCAAGAACACCAGUGGCGAAGGCGGCUCACUGGCCCGUUACUGACGCUGAGGCACGAAAGCGUGGGGAGCAAACAGG
rnacentral:rRNA from 1 species